UAUCGUUAACAUCUCGGAUAAAUAGUUUAUUUGUAGCAGCGAAACUUAAUUCAGCUGCAGACAAUGACAGUUUUGAUGUUUGAAACACUUUCAGUUCUUCAUUUACAGCCACAGAGUCGGCUGAGCACUGAAAGUCUCUCAGGAGAUUGCCAAUCAUCUAGCCAAUUGCUGCUAGAACUGCCACCACUGGUGUUAGCUUGUUAAUACAUUGAUUGACAAUAGUUUCACCUUCAAUCCUGGGCGUGUUCUCUCUCUUGGUCUGUAUUCAAGCAAGCUGUGUCACGUUUGUUAGUCUUAUUGUAUUAUCGCUGUCCUCCUCACCUGACGCGCUAGGGGUCGCUGUAGUGCCCACGUCAUGUCUGGACUGCAAUUCCUCUGAGUUCGGAUGGUGUCACUGUCUCGGGAGACUGCCCAAGUGUGGGCUGAAAUAAUUCGGAAUUUCGGACGGGACCGGCGACGGUGCGGUGGAGGGGGCGGGGUCGGGUGAUUCCCAGGCUGGAGCUUCAAAGUGGCGUCACUAUAAGCGUCACCGGCAGGACCCCGCCCCUUUGAAGUCCCUGCUCAGUUUUCUUUUCACAAUCAUUCAGUUUGCUUCGGAGCUCCGCACAGUUCACUUCGAUUGAAUUGUAAUCAUAAUGUUUGUCUUUUGCUCGUUCGGUGAAUGCAGCGACCUGCUCUCUGGGCUCUGUACUGGCUCAAUGCUGCUGGUUCUGCAGCGCGUCGCGGGCUUUUGCGCUCCUUUCCCAACCGAUCAGUAAACGUCUGUACUCGCCUUUUCAUCUGCCCACUGUUGAUGAAACUGACCUCACGGUCUUAUCUCCAAAUUACAUAUUCCCGGUUUUCACUCACCCUCAGGAAUUCUCUGGAUUUCAGCCUAUUCUUAAUAACCUUACAAUGGCGGCAUUUCUGUCUGAUGCUUUCAUUAAUUUUUAUAAAACUGAGACGAUGGUUAGACGGGGUUCUUUUUUUUCAAUCUUUUUCCGAAAAAUAUGUAUUCCAUUUUUAUGUACUACGAUCAGAUUUUCUUUUUCUUCAGCUUUAUUGAUUGUCUACAUAUUAAUCUGUUGAUGUUUUGUAACAUUUUACAGCUGUAGAAGAUCAUGUACCAAUGAAAAGAUUCUAAAAAUGAAAAUGAUUUAUUCAGUAACCUACCAACCGUUGGGAGAACGACGCGGUCGCCGGGGAACGUACAUGCUCCUUGCAAUCAGCGGUCGGAGUUGAACCCGUGUUGGUUGUGUAGUAAAGAAGCUGUGAAAACCACCGAUUCUCACAGAUAGGGUUAAAGCGUCAGUACGUGGGCAGCGGCGGAAUUAUCCGUUUUGUCUUUGUCGACCUGUUCAGUGGAAAUUCAGUGUCAUCGCACCACUCCACACUGGAAUGCUCCACACCUUCAUUCACGUGUUUGAUUAAUCGUUUGUCUUUCUGGGAAUGUCUGUUUCUGCAUAUCGUAUCUGUGUGGGUGAAGUUUUCCUGAACCUCACAAGACCAGUCCGCUAAUUGCUCACCUGGGCUAAAGUCCUCAUUCCCGACAGUGUUUGCAGAACUUAAAAGACAGCCGACACCCGCCGACAGUGUGGUUAAGAACGGAUCCUUCUCUUUAUCAGUCGAUGCGUUGAGUUCAAAGGUCAGAAAGUAAUGUUGCUCCUUCAGAAAAAUUGAGUUUGGCCGCAACUGGAGAAAAUUCGGUCCCCUUGUGCUGACGAUUUUCUGAAUGGAGUGAAGAUAUUUUAAACAAAAUACUGAGGUGCAAGCGGACUUUGGAGUCCUUUUGCGGGAUUCCCAAAAGGUCAAUUUGCAGGCGGAUGAAGGCAAAUGUGAUGUUAGCAUUCAUGACAAGAUGUCCAGGAUAUGAAAGCAAGGAUGUAAAGUUGAAAACUUAUAACAUUUUUAAAAACUUUCUUGGUAUUUGUCAUUAUUAAUCAUUGAUCUUAUGAAGUGUGUGAGGGCUGGCAUUUGUUGUCAUAGGCUUGUGGAGGGCGAGAAUUAAAUUGAAUUGACUUUAUUACCCUGAUCCUUCACAUACUGUGGUGUAAAAAUCUUCACGUUA